CGGCGGACGGGUGAGUAACACGUGGACAAUCUGCCCCCCGGCCCGGGAUAGCCCAGGGAAACCUGGAUUAAUACCGGAUGAGACGGGACCCGCGAAGGCGGGACCCGGAAAGGCGCUGCGGCGCCGCCGGGGGAUGAGUCUGCGUCCCAUUAGCUAGACGCGGGGUAAGGCCCACCGUGGCGACGAUGGGUAGCCGGCCUGAGAGGGUGACGGCCACAUUGGAACUGAGACACGGUCCAGACUCCUACGGGAGGCAGCAGCUAAGAAUCUUCCGCAAUGGGCGAAAGCCUGACGGAGCGAACCGCCGCGUGAACGAAGAAGGCCGUGAGGUUGUAAAAGUUCUUUUCGGGAGGGGGAACAACCGUGGCAGGGAAUGGCCGCGGGAUGACGUGAAUCCCGGAAUAAGCCCCGGCUAACUACGUGCCAGCCGCUGC
rnacentral:rRNA from 1 species